GGAAUUUGUUUGCUGGCCUGAGAAGAUGGUGGUUUCCACCACCAUCCCCACGUGGAUGCAUCAUGGCCUUCAGAUCUCUCUCCAACGUUUUAAUCAUGACCUUUGGUUCUAUUGACUUAUUUUAAUUCAUUUUGUUUCGCGCUUGACUCAUGACCAUGGUACUCCAGCGCCUCUGAGCCAUUGGAUGUAGCCACGUCAUUUAAUGAACUAAUCCAAGGGGCGGUGAUUUUCCUAUUUUCUAUUUUUAUUUUUUAUUUUCUUUUAAUUCCAUUAAUUUUCAAAAAUUCAUAACUAUUUUAUUUGAAGUCAUAAAAAUAUGUGACCAAUGGCAAAAAAAAUCUUGAAAAAUCUAGUUUCAUAAUCUGAUUUUUAAUUAUUUUUGUGACUUCAUUUAAUAUUUUUU
rnacentral:lncRNA from 1 species